GACAGAGGGUGCAAACGUUGUUCGGAAUUACUGGGCGUAAAGCGCGUGUAGGCUGUCCCGUAAGUCUGAUGUGAAAGCCCACGGCUCAACCGUGGAGGGUCAUUGGAAACUGGGGAACUUGAGUGCAGGAGAGAAGAGUGGAAUUCCACGUGUAGCGGUGAAAUGCGUAGAGAUGUGGAGGAACACCAGUGGCGAAGGCGACUCUUUGGCCUGUAACUGACACUGAGGCGCGAAAGCGUGGGGAGCAAACAGG
rnacentral:rRNA from 1 species